AGGACGAACGCUGGCGGCGUGCUUAACACAUGCAAGUCGAGCGGAAAGGCCCUUCGGGGUACUCGAGCGGCGAACGGGUGAGUAACACGUGAGCAACCUGCCCCUAGCUUCGGGAUAGCUCCGGGAAACCGGAAUUAAUACCGAAUAUGGCCAUGGACGACAUCAGCCAUGGUGGAAAGUUUUUCGGCUAGGGAUGGACUCGCGGCCUAUCAGCUAGUUGGUGAGGUAACGGCCCACCAAGGCGACGACGGGUA
rnacentral:rRNA from 1 species